rnacentral:rRNA from 1 species
GACAGAGGGUGCAAACGUUGUUCGGAAUUACUGGGCGUAAAGCGUGUGCAGGCGGCCGCGUAAGUCGGAUGUGAAAGCCCUGGGCUCAACCCAGGAAGUGCACUCGAUACUGCGUGGCUCGAGUACUGGAGAGGUUGGUGGAAUUCUCGGUGUAGAGGUGAAAUUCGUAGAUAUCGAGAGGAACACCGGUGGCGAAGGCGGCCAACUGGACAGAUACUGACGCUGAGACACGAAAGCGUGGGGAGCAAACAGG